GUCCUAUACAACCAUCCUUCCAUGACACAUACAAUGGGAAGUUUAUUUCAGGAAACAAAGCCUGUCUGAAACUCCAAAAUGACAUUUCCAGAAAGCUGAAGAAUGGAUAAAAAUGUAUCUACCAUCUUGCAACCCAGAUUUCAUUCCACUGAAAAGAAAAGGGACAGGAAAUUUUGCAUGUCCAUGUCUUGGAAGGUGAAUAGGUGAAAAGUCAAUAGAUGCUUACCAUAUCAGAUGCUUGCAGAGGAUACUGGGGAUAAAGUAGCAGAAAAUUAUGGAAAACAGGAAGUGGCAGCCAGGACUGACAUCAAUGCAAUGAACAAUGAGCUGAGGAGACGGUGAUGGAACUAUAUAGGACACGUGCUAUGGAGGGGAGGUGACAAUGACAGUGAGAUGGCGUUGGGUUGGACACCAGAAGGGAAGAGGGCAUUUAAGAGACCGAAAACAACCUGGAGAGGAACAGUAGAAGCAGAAAGAAAGAUUGCAGAAUGGCGAAACUUGAAUGAGAUCAAGAUGGUAGCAAUAGAACAGAGUGAAUUGGAGAGAGUCUCGGUCCUAUGUGUUUUGGCAUGGAGAGAACUAAGUAAUGUCUAGAUUGUUGGAGAUAGGAUGACCAGGAAUAUGAAUGGAUGUGCUGGAAACUAUAUUAAGACCCUUAUGUAUUUGGAUAGAUUUACAUACCAUCAUGAUUUUGGUAUGAAAAACUUGAAAAAAAUCCUCAACCCAUAUUGUAGCUGACAUUGUACAUUUGUACUUAUUAAUAUUUCAAAUGAACAUAUUUUUAGACAUACAAUAUCUAAACUUUGGAGUCCAUGUACAUCUCCACAUCGGAUAAUAGGUUAUGAUAUAUGUGUGUGAAAUCUUUUCCUAUGGUAUUCACAUGUUAACACAUUAGUUUAAAUGAUGAUGUAUAUCUUAUGACUAUGGAAGAGAAUGUGUUCAGAACAGAAUAUGUGUCUAGAAGAGUUGUUGCCCUUGAAUGUAAUUCAUUAUUUACAUGGGGUUGAAAAAUAAUCCAGCACACAGUAGUACUAAAUGCAUUAUGUUAAAAUACAUUUAUGAAGGGUAUAAGUGAUACUGUCAAUUACUGAUUAAUACACUUUGUGAAAUCAUAUUAUUGUUAUGUUUAAUAAAUUUCAA